rnacentral:rRNA from 1 species
AUACCCGGGUAGUNNUAGCCGUAANCGAUACUCGCUAGGUGUNGGGCANGGUGCGACCGUNGUCGGUGCCGUNGGGAAGCCGUGAAGCGAGCCACCUGGGAAGUACGGCCGCAAGGCUGAAACUUAAAGGAAUUGGCGGGGGAGCACCACAACGGGUGGAGCUUGCGGUUUAAUUGGAUUCAACGCCGGAAAUCUUACCGGGACCGACAGCAAUAUGAAGGCCAGGCUGAAGACUUUGCCGGAUUAGCUGAGAGGUGGUGCAUGCCCGUCGUCAGUUCGUACUGUGAAGCAUCCUGUUAAGUCAGGCAACGAGCGAGACCCACGCCCACAGUUGCCAGCGUACUCUCCGGAGUGACGGGUACACUGUGGGGACCGCCGCUGCUAAAGCGGAGGAAGGAAUGGGCAACGGUAGGUCAGUAUGCCCCGAAUAUCCCGGGCUACACGCGAGCUACAAUGGUUGGUACAAUGGGUAUCUACCCCGAAAGGGGAUGGAAAUCUCCUAAAGCCAAUCUUAGUUCGGAUUGAGGGCUGCAACUCGCCCUCAUGAAGCUGGAAUCCGUAGUAAUCGC